rnacentral:rRNA from 1 species
GACGAACGCUGGCGGCGUGCUUAACACAUGCAAGUCGAACGGUGAACUCAGAGCUUGCUCUGACGGAUCAGUGGCGAACGGGUGAGUAACACGUGAGUAACCUGCCCCAGACUCUGGAAUAAGCGCUGGAAACGGCGUCUAAUACCGGAUACGAGACAGAGAGGCAUCUCUACUGUCUGGAAAGUUUUUCGGUCUGGGAUGGACUCGCGGCCUAUCAGCUUGUUGGUGAGGUAACGGCUCACCAAGGCGACGACGGGUAGCCGGCCUGAGAGGGCGACCGGCCACACUGGGACUGAGACACGGCCCAGACUCCUACGGGAGGCAGCAGUGGGGAAUAUUGCACAAUGGGCGAAAGCCUGAUGCAGCGACGCCGCGUGAGGGAUGAAUGCCUUCGGGUUGUAAACCUCUUUCAGCAGGGAAGAAGCGAAAGUGACGGUACCUGCAGAAGAAGCACCGGCUAACUACGUG